rnacentral:rRNA from 1 species
UGCCAGCAGCCGCGGUAAUACGUACUGCGCGAACGUUAUUCGGAAUCACUGGGCUUAAAGGGUGCGUAGGCGGUUUUUCAAGUCAGGUGUGAAAUUUUUCGGCUCAACCGGAAAACUGCAUCUGAAACUGAUUGACUUGAGUGUGCUAGGGGUGUGUGGAACUGCCAGUGGAGCGGUGAAAUGUGUUGAGAUUGGCAGGAACGCCGGUGGCGAAAGCGACACACUGGGGCACAACUGACGCUGAGGCACGAAAGCUAGGGUAGCGAACGGGAUUAGAUA